rnacentral:snRNA from 1 species
GUGCUCACUUCAUCAGCACAGACACAAAACUGGAACAAUACAGAGAUUAGCAUGGCCAUUGUACAAGAAUGACAUGCAAAUUUGUGAAAUGUUCCAUAUUUUU